GAUGAACGCUGGCGGCGUGCUUAACACAUGCAAGUCGAACGGAAAGGCUCCUGCUUGCAGGGGUACUCGAGUGGCGAACGGGUGAGUAACACGUGGGUGAUCUGCCCUGCACUUCGGGAUAAGCCUGGGAAACUGGGUCUAAUACCGGAUAGGACGAUGGUUUGGAUGCCAUUGUGGAAAGUUUUUCGGUGUGGGAUGAGCUCGCGGCCUAUCAGCUUGUUGGUGGGGUAAUGGCCUACCAAGGCGUCGACGGGUAGCCGGCCUGAGAGGGUGUACGGCCACAUUGGGACUGAGAUACGGCCCAGACUCCUACGGGAGGCAGCAGUGGGGAAUAUUGUACAAUGGGCGCAAGCCUGAUGCAGCGACGCCGCGUGGGGGAUGACGGCCUUCGGGUUGUAAACUCCUUUCGCUAGGGACGAAGCGUUUUGUGACGGUACCUGGAGAAGAAGCACCGGCUAACUACGUG
rnacentral:rRNA from 1 species